rnacentral:rRNA from 1 species
CCCUUAGAUGUUCUGGGCAGCACGCGCGCUACAAUGGUCUUCGCAAACGGAUGCAUUCUCGAAGGAGAAUGCCAAUCUUGGAAUCUAUGCCUUGGUCGGGACAGUUGCUUGCAAUUUUUCGACUCGAACCAGGAAUUCCUUGUAAUCGUGAUUCAUCACAUCACGAUGAAUACGUCCCUGCCCUUUGUACACACCGCCCGUCGCUCCUACCGAUCGAGUGAUCCGGUGAAUAAUUCGGACUGCGGCAUUGACCGGUUCCCGAUCGUUGCUGCGGAAAGUUUAGUGAACCUUAUCACUUAGAGGAAGGAGAAGUCGUAACA